UUGUUCCUCAGUGAGAGUGGCUUGUGUGUAUGAGGUAAGAGUGUGUGAGUGAAUGUUUGGCGGUUGUUUGGUGCGUGAAUGUGGGGUGUUUGUGUGUAUGAAUGUGUUACCGAAACUUAAAAACCUACACAGUGAUCUUAUUUGAUCCGGCCAGAGUUUGGCUCUGCUCUGAUCGGAGGUGAUAGGAAAAGCGCUCGCAAGCCUUCGUGGCGAUGAGCAGCUGGCGAGAUGUAACCUUUGGGGCCUCCACGCUUCGUGCUGUGGUCAGAGGUGAUGAAUUGAUCAGAUAUACUAGUUCUGGUUGAGCUUGAGUUCAUUUCAAGCUUCACAAUGGACAAUGAGUAAAGAAGCGAUUCUGAUCUAA
ensembl:scaRNA